UACACUCCUACGGGAGGCAGCAGUGGGGAAUAUUGGACAAUGGGCGCAAGCCUGAUCCAGCCAUGCCGCGUGAGUGAUGAAGGCCCUAGGGUUGUAAAGCUCUUUCACCGGUGAAGAUAAUGACGGUAACCGGAGAAGAAGCCCCGGCUAACUUCGUGCCAGCAGCCGCGGUAAUACGAAGGGGGCUAGCGUUGUUCGGAUUUACUGGGCGUAAAGCGCACGUAGGCGGACUAUUAAGUCAGGGGUGAAAUCCCGGGGCUCAACCCCGGAACUGCCUUUGAUACUGGUAGUCUUGAGUUCGAGAGAGGUGAGUGGAAUUCCGAGUGUAGAGGUGAAAUUCGUAGAUAUUCGGAGGAACACCAGUGGCGAAGGCGGCUCACUGGCUCGAUACUGACGCUGAGGUGCGAAAGCGUGGGGAGCAAACAGGAUUAGAAACCCGUGUAGUCCCAUGAU
rnacentral:rRNA from 1 species